GACGAACGCUGGCGGCGUGCUUAACACAUGCAAGUCGAACGAUGAAGCUGGAGCUUGCUCCGGUGGAUUAGUGGCGAACGGGUGAGUAACACGUGAGUAAUCUGCCAUUGACUCUGGGAUAACUGCGGGAAACUGUAGCUUAUACCGGAUUCGACACCUUAUGGCAACCGAUGGGUGUGGAAAGGAUUUCGGUCAAGGAUGAACUCGCGGCCUAUCAGCUAGUUGGUGAGGUAAUGGCUGACCAAGGCGACGACGGGUAGCCGGCAUGAGAGGGUGACCGGCCACACUGGGACUGAGACACGGCCCAGACUCCUACGGGAGGCAGCAGUGGGGAAUAUUGCACAAUGGGCGAAAGCCUGAUGCAGCAACGCCGCGUGAGGGAUGAAGGCCUUCGGGUUGUAAACCUCUUUUAGUUGGGAAGAAGCGAAAGUGACGGUACCAACAGAAAAAGCACCGGCUAACUACGUGCCAGCCGCCGCAGUAA
rnacentral:rRNA from 1 species